rnacentral:rRNA from 1 species
UACGUAGGGGGCAAGCGUUGUCCGGAAUCAUUGGGCGUAAAGAGCGCGUAGGCGGUCCGGUAAGUCCGCUCUGAAAGUCCGGGGCUCAACCCCGGGAGGCGGGCGGAUACUGUCGGGCUAGAGUCCGGAAGAGGCGAGUGGAAUUCCUGGUGUAGCGGUGAAAUGCGCAGAUAUCAGGAGGAACACCGAUGGCGAAGGCAGCUCGCUGGGACGGUACUGACGCUGAGGAGCGAAAGCGUGGGGAGCGAACAGG